GCGAAUGACUAUUCCCUCACUAAAACGACCAUGAAGACUCAUGUAAAAAUCCAAACGCGAAUGACUAUUCCCUCACUAAAAGCGCUUAUCUGAAAAGCUCAUCCACAGCGCGAUUUGGUUAUUCGCUUCAGCAUCACUUCCGCGCUAUAGAAUAGCAUCGCGUGUUUGUCAUUGUUUCGUCUCCGACUCCUGCUUCUCCCCAUGUUUUAUGCUCAAGAACAACUCGAAGCGAACAACGGUUCCAAUCAUCAAUCCACGUUCCGAAAUCCGAAUCAAUGACUCAGUUCGAUUCACCAUUGUACGCGUGCACCAACAGAAAAAACAGAAUCGGAACCAAAGCGAUAAAUUCACCGGUAUUUGAAGCCUCAAUCGCAAACAGGUAUAUGGUAGUGCAACAUACAAGGGUGCAAGAUUGAGUUGGAUCACCACCAUAAGCAAAAUUGUAGUUCUUGUGAUAUCUAAAGGUUGAUGUUCAGCAAUAGUAGGAUGUAUCAAUAUAUUAUGCAGAGUUAUGCAGGGUGCAUUGGGACAGGCUGGCACUGCCAUGAUGUAGGGUCCUCACUUCUGCACUUGGUCUGAAUGCAAUUAGUUAGACGUGAAUCACAUUUUGGUUAUGGGAAGCAUUGAAACUCUUGUUGGCGUUGUCGGAAAAGUGAGGCUUGUAGGUCGAGUCUCCGUAGCAGAAUGAUGAGGUAAUUUUACAAUUGUUAUUGAUAAAUUAUUGGAAAUUCUAUGAAACAAUCACGAUCUGUGGAAUGGUUGGUUAUUUUUUCCAUUUCCUUUUUCUCAUCUUUGUCUGUAUGAUUGUUUAUUUGUUCUCAUCUCAAUCGUGUUCAUGCUUUGUUUGUGAUUAACAAUUUUUGUUUUUGUAUGUUGUUGAUAUUGCAUUGUCUUCUUCAAGUCGGUUUUGUCAUACUGUUGUUGAGUGUACUGGUUUUGGUAUUAUUAUGUUGAAGCUUGUAAAUAUUUAUUUACUUUUAUUGAUUGUGAGAAAUGAGUUUGUAUGAUUUUUGUGGAGAGAGGUUAUAGGAAGUUGUUGAAAGAAGCAAGGCGUUGUGUGUGAAUUCCACUUAAAAAGCCAAAGGUCCAUUUGUUUUUUUUUCAUUUCCUACGCUACGUUGCUGUAGAAAGAUUGCUUUCAAAUUUUUCUGCACCCUUUUUAUACUUUGUA